UCCUUGAUGUCAGAAUGAGGUCACAAUUUGGACUGGUUUUUGUUUCUUUGCAAACCAAGAGACAGUUAACAGUUGGACUCAGUAUUAACACAGUCAGGAUGGAUCUUUGUGAUAGGAAAGAAAAAAGAUGGGUCAUUUCUGCAAAGAGCAAAGAGGAGAGGACAUACCCACCCCCACACUGACAGCACUGACCCAGAAGGAAAAACUGUACUUUCUAGGAUGUGUGGCAACUUGAGAAAGCCAUGGAUGAUGGGAAGAAGAGAACGCUGACAACCCAAAAUUUCAAUAGACAACCACUGUGCAUUGCUUCACCCUGCUGAGAUCCAUUAUGCAACCAUUUCAUCUGUGUGCUGACUCAGUCUGCUCUCCGCUGAAGUACCCACAAACCUCUCCUCCAAUUUGCCAAUUAUUAGAAUAUAAAUAUCUGAGAAGUUGGCUAUGGAUGAACAGGGGCACUGCCCGGAAAGGGAGAUGAGGGCUAGAGACUUGGGCCAUUGGUGAACUUCAGCAGAAACCAGACUCCAGAGGGGCAACGUGCAACAGGUCUCCUCCUGGGAUUGCCUGCCGCCAUUCUUCAGGGACUCCUAGUGCGCAGA